GAGGGUAUAGCUCAGUGGUAGAGCGCAUACUUAGCAUGCACAAGGUCCUGGGUUCAAUCCCCAGGACCUCCA
rnacentral:tRNA from 1 species